rnacentral:rRNA from 1 species
AACGAACGCUGGCGGCAUGCCUAACACAUGCAAGUCGAACGAGACCUUCGGGACUUGUGGCGCACGGGUGCGUAACGCGUGGGAACCGGCCCUUAGGUUCGGACUAACUCCCCGAAAGGGGUGAUAAUACCGGAUAAUGUCUUCGGACCAAAAAUUUAUCGCCUUUGGAUGGGCCCGCGUUGGAUUAGCUUGUUGUUAGGGUAAAAGCCUACCAAGGCGACGAUUCAUAGCUGGUCUGAGAGGAUGAUCAGCCACACUGGGACUGAGACACGGCCCAGACUCCUACGCGAGGCAGCAGUGGGGAAUAUUGGACAAUGGGCGAAAGCCUGAUCCAGCAAUGCCGCGUGAGUGCUGAAGGCCUUAGGGUUGUAAAGCUCUUUUACCCGGGAUGAUAAUGACAGUACCGGGAGAAUAAGCUCCGGCUAACUCCGUG